rnacentral:rRNA from 1 species
GAGUCUAGCAUGUGCGCGAGUCAUUGGGACUCUAGCGAAACCUAAAGGCGCAAUGAAAGUGAAGGUCCGCCUCGCGCGGACCGAGGGAGGAUGGGCGGUCCCGCGGGACCGCCUCGCACUCCCGGGGCGUCUCGUUCUCAUCGCGAGAAGAGGCGCACCCAGAGCGUACACGCUGGGACCCGAAAGAUGGUGAACUAUGCCUGGUCAGGACGAAGUCAGGGGAAACCCUGAUGGAGGUCCGUAGCGAUUCUGACGUGCAAAUCGAUCGUCGGAACUGGGUAUAGGGGCGAAAGACUAAUCGAACCAUCUAGUAGCUGGUUCCCUCCGAAGUUUCCCUCAGGAUAGCUGGCGCUCGCUUCUCGCGAGUCUCAUUCGGUAAAGCGAAUGAUUAGAGGCAUUGGGGUCGAAACGGCCUCAACCUAUUCUCAAACUUUAAAUGGGUGAGAUCUCCGGCUUGCUUGAACUGUGAAGCCGCGAGAUAUCGGAUCAGAGUGCCAAGUGGGCCACUUUUGGUAAGCAGAACUGGCGCUGUGGGAUGAACCAAACGCCGAGUUAAAGCGCCUAAAUCGACGCUUAUGGGAUACCAUGAAAGGCGUUGGUAACUUAAGACAGCAGGACGGUGGCCAUGGAAGUCGGA